CCUUCCCUCGUGCGUUCCCGCUUUCAACGAACCGCCAUUAUAUCCCGCCGCCGCUGCUACUACUGCCGCCGCCGCCGCUGUUGCUGCUGAUUAACACUCUUUCACACCGACGCUAGAAACGACGCUGUUCGCUAAUAACUUGGUUCCACGGUUCUUCCUCUCUUCCUCUGCUUCGCGCCUCUAGUUCGCGCCUCUGCUUCUCUUCCUUCCACUUUCCAAAUACCGCGCUAUACUCGCUGCUGCUGCCGCUGCCGCCGCUGCUGCUCUAUCUCUAUCGGUGUACGUAUCGCGCUCCAACAGAACCUCUCAACUUUGCCUCUCUUUUCUCGCGGCACUGCGACGCGACACAGCUUUUACCACGAUUCGUCGUGUUCCUUCGAUCGUCCAAGAUCGACCGAUGCCUCUCACCUUCUCGCACAGAACGCGAAAAGCGAUCGUCUACGUUCUCGGACUCGGGUCCGCGGCUAUGACCCCGUACUCGGCACACUGAACACGAUACAAUCGGAGGACCGGAGAACGAUGGCGACAACAACGAUUCUCUUUUUAUUUAAAAUCAUCAAUAAUCGCACUGACAGUGCCCUAUUACUUCGAUUUAUUAAUUUUAACGAUCGCUCGCGUUCUUCGCGCAAUACUUCGGUCUUUCGGCUUGAUUUUCAAGCGAGUCUAAUAAUCUAAUCGUAAAAAUCGAUCAUCUUAAGGAUUUCAACGUUGAAAUAUCAUUUAUAAAAAUUUCUGAAUUAUAGUUUACGCUUGUCUGUUUAAAGGACUUUGAUAUUUUAUUUUAAUCUUUGUGUAUGAUAUAAAUUUAAUAAUUUGAAAAACAUGUCUAUAUUAAAAAGUUAAUUGAGGACAUUAAAGUUGUCCU
rnacentral:misc_RNA from 1 species